rnacentral:precursor_RNA from 1 species
CUCAGGCCUGUAAUCCCAGCAUUUUCGGAGGCGGAGGUGGGCGGAUCACGAGGUCCGGAGAU